GAUGAUAUAUUGCUGAGUAUGAUGUAUCUGGCCCCAUUCUGGGCGCUGUGAUCUAGCCGAGAACUAGGCAGCAAGGUGCCUACCAUCAAGGAGACUGCAUUCUAGUGUGGGGUGAAAGAUACCAAAGGAAGCCAAGAAGUCCAUAAGAUAAUUUCAUCUCAGGUACAAAGCACAUAUGUCUUGAGCUUUCUGAGUAGAGACACAUCUGAGCUAAAUAAACACAUGAAAGGUCAGCUUGGUUGAGCGAAGAUGAGCUUAAGGUGAGGAGAAUGUUAAAAAUGAUCUUACGUGAAAUCUGACUAAGUGAGGACCAUACCUCCAAUGUCUAAGGAACAGUUUUAGGCUCUCUGGAUUUAACUGUGGUAAAGAAACUGCCUGCCAGUGCAGGAGACAUAAGAGACACUUGUGUGAUCCUGGGUUGGGAAGAUUCCCUGGAGGAGGGCAUGGCAACCCACUCCAGUAUUCCUGCCUGGAGAAUCCCUUGGACAGAGGAGCCUGGCAGGCUACAGUCCAUAGGGUCGCAGAGAGUCAGACACGACUGAAACAACUUAGCAAAGCAAAUAAAAUAUUCAUGUUUUGAUCACAAAGCUUUAAGCCUCUCCUUGUUUGAUGAUGGAAUCUCAGGAUCACCUGAGAGUGCCCUCAUCCAUUGUUUUGGCACAGGUAUCAAAUGCCAUCACGUCUGUUUUUAUCCUUUUCUGCUUCAGAUCGCAACUAACCACGCCUACUGGUCAUGAGUACUUGGAAGGCCUGUCACUACCAUCACUUAUAAGAACACUGUUGUCUGUGCUGACGACGUGGUCUGGAAAUUGCCAGGCUCCAUCCAGAGUCGGCCCUGCUCUGACUCUGAACCAUGUAUACAUGGCCACCUGGGCCUCCAUGGGGCUCAGCCUGGCCCAGAACCCUUGGUCUUAGUGAAAACCUGUCACCCUCCUCCUUACCAUCCCCUUAAAGGUACAGCACAACCCCAGAAA
ensembl:lncRNA